UGUCGUGAGGCGGAAUCUGAAGGAAGCCGGAUAUAGUGGUUUAAAAGAACCGCUAUGGGCAAAACCUCGGUCUGACGAAAAAAACUGCAUAUAAGGCGUCGUGAUGUGGACGAGUUUGCUAAAAAAACGAAGUCCGAUACUGCCCGAGCUUUGCGGCGUAAAUGCAGCAGAUAUAUGAGGAGAAGGUG
rnacentral:ncRNA from 1 species